CAGUUUUUGCCCCUUGAGAAAGCCCCAGCACCCAGAAUGGCGUCUGGCACAUAGACGCUGGGUGUGUGUAUGCCUGCCCUGAGAGAGCAAGAAGGCACAAGCGAGCAAGGGACAGAGAGAGAGAAGAGGAGCUCUCCAGAAGCAGGGUUCGAGCUCAUCCGAAGCAGGGUUCGUGCUCACCUGAAGCGGGGCUUGAGCUCACCCGAAGCAGGGCUCAAGCUCACCCUAUGCGGGACUUGAACUCAUGAGCCAUGAGAUCAUGACCUGAGCCAAAGUCAGAUACCUAACCGACUGAGCCACCCAGAUGCCUAUCUUGUAACAAUUCUUAAAUUAAAAUGUAUUUUGAUUGAUUUAGUAAAGGGACACCUUCUACCUUUUACUAUUUGCAUGGAA